ensembl:lncRNA
CAGCAAUAUGGCCCUGCUUCCAUGGCUGCCAGGCUUUCCUCCACAGGCAUUUCCCACCACAGUCUCCUCCCACACAUCCCCUCAAUCUGUCUCUCUUCAGUCAACAGCAGCCCUCACCCCGGGAUUGCUCCACAAUCCCUAAACUCCAGUUCCCAGCCUCUGCGCCUUCCAGGGGAUCUACUUCCCUGUCUGGGCAUGUGGGAUCUCGUUUCCUGACCAGGAAUCGCCUCUGCGUUGGCAGUGUGAAGUCCUAACCACUGGACCUCCAAAGAAGUCCCAGAUACAGCAAGGAGAAAGAUACGCACAAACCAAGAAGAGCGCUCUCACCAGACACGGAAUCUGCUACCACCUUGAUCUCAGAUUUCCCAGCCUCCAGAAUGGAACUUGGGGAAGUUUAGUAAAUCCCCCAAC